rnacentral:pre_miRNA from 1 species
ACAACAUUCGGACUGUCGGUCUACCGAGCAAAUAUCACCCGCUCGGUGGAAGAUCUUCCUAAGAGAA